UAGACCUGAAGCAGAAACAAGAAUGACAUUAAGAAACUUCCCAGAGCAGCACAUAGGGGCAAUGCCAGGUGUUAAAGUUGUUCUUCAAGUCUUGUGUUAUCAUAUUUUUAAAAACAAUUCUUUAGUCAACAGCCAAAUAUACUCCACCAGAUACCCAAAACAAAGACAUUGCACCUUACCAACAAAGUUUCCAGUUUACCCUGCCCUAGUUGCAUGUGCAGGCAAGUGGAACCUCUCUUUUUGUAAUUUGACCCCUUUUAUGGAUGCUCAAGCAUUUUCUUCCCCUCUCCCUGUCCCUCCCCUCUCCCCCACCUCCUCUCUUCCUGGAGAAGCUGUGGGAGCAACAAAAUAUAAGAAAGAGAUGCUGACUUUCCUUGACCAGCCUUCUCUUCAAAAUUAUACCCUGGAAAUAAUUCCCUCAUCUGUCUGGGAAAGAAAUUUGAGAUGGAUUUGAUGCAGGCUUGGUGCAGGACAGUGAGACACAACUGCAGCCAGGAGCGACACAAGAUCAGCAGGCUGUAAGCUCCAAAUGGCUGCAGGUUCAGACACAAGCAAGGCCCCAUCCGCUUCCAAAAGCAUCCAUCACUGUGGCAUGAGUCCAAGGAGAUGAGACAAAAGGCCAUUCUGGACAUUUGCCGUGGCAUGCAAGCACAGAGCCCGUGCUAUGAAGAUCCUGUGUUCUUGGUAGGGUCACUGUGCUGUCGAUUUCUCAAAAUACUCCUCUGGUAAAGAGCACAAGCAUCUUCUCCAAUAGCUCUCAGAGCCUUUCCCAUUUUUUUCAGGCUUUGUUGCAGCCUGAUGUCUCAUAGGCAGCCUUGGCAAUUUGAAACAUAAACCAGGACAACUACCCUCUGCAGUGCUCUGCUGCUUCCAGGAGCUUGGCAUGGGGAAGAGCUGUCUGUCAGACUCCGAGAUCCACACCCACCACCCUGCUCACCCUGACAGGCAGGAAAAGCACUACAAAGCUCAGGCAGAUCAAACCAUCAGCGCUGAGGAAGUUGUUUCUCAGGAUCACUACUACCACCCCCUGUACUAAACACAAGCCAGUAUGUAGAGAAACGCUUUUUAAAAAUUAAAUUAUUUUUUUAUUUUCUUAAGUUGGUGAAGGCUACCCCCUAUAGAGGGCUGCGGAAGUCAACCCAACGACAGAAAUAAAAGGGUGAAAAAGGCAGGCACAAUCAGCUUCCUCCCGUGUUUCGGUGUCCUUGGGAAAUUGCUCUCCCAGCUGAAUGACAUUUUUGGUGGAGAGUCCCUCAGGUUUUUGCAAGAGUAGUUUUUCUUAGUACUUUCAGAUUGCAUGUCCAGAAAAUGGCAUGACGAAGGACAGCAUGGAGGGAACAGAGAGCACAGGGUCAAGUUGGAAGAAAGUGAAACAGAGAAUUGUAUCUAUGACAGGGCCCUCCAAAGCUUCAAAAAUAGCUCAAGUGAUGAGCCUGACCAUUUCCCUUUGAAGCAUUGAUGUCACCCUGCCUGUGGCCAUGAUCCACUUACCAGACUGACGAUAUAUUGCUACUGGCAGUUACUCUGAAACUAAAGUCAAUAAAUACCAUUUCUAAAUUAAGUAGCCAGAGAAUUUUCCUAUUGCUUCUCCUAUAUUUAAUUCUUCCUUGUCCAGUAAGUCACGGUGUCUCACCCAUUGCCAUAACUCCCUCACCAUUAGAAAGUACAAAAUGCAGGAUGACAGAAUGGCCUAUGUCAAUUUUUGUCUGCCUCAUCCUUUUACUUUCUAAAUUCCUCAAUCACAUUACCUCUGACUAAGAUGGCAUUUCCCCCUUGAUUACAGCUGUGGGCUCUUUCACUAGAUAAUAAACUUCAUGUAACCAGCCACAAGAUCCACUGAUGUUUUUCUCUCACUGUAUUUCUUCCUGAAUAAUUCCCCACAUCACUUCCCUCCUCUGGAGGCAGGUUCUUUUGGAGCACCAAGUGUGCUCCUUGGUGGUUCAGGUUACAUUCCAGAUGUGCAAAUAAGGCGACCUGGUCAAGAAGACAACCUCCACUUCCCAGGCCAACAACAAACGCCUUGCCACCCUUUGCAGCAUGACCCCAAACAAAUUGGCUUGUGGCAGCACAGGUCCUUUCCCUGCCUACAGAUUGUCACCAAUAAUUUUGGCAAGUGCUAAUGAGGCAUCAUUACUGCAAAAUAUCUCCCCCAUGUUUCCCAGCUGCAGGUCUCCCAUGGCAUGUGUGCCACCCCCUGGCUCCGUAUCCUGGGCACACAGUGCUGCUCUCAGCAGCUGUACUGCAGGGACUGCUGUCCCUCAGCCGUAGCAGCAUGUUUCCCCAACACUUCUCUCUCUUUUUUCUUUUUUUUAACCUCCCUGCCGCCUCUGAAUAGGCUGUAACUGGGGACUCAAGCACACUGAAAUUAUGCAAAUCAUCCCACCGGGUUUUUUGUAAUGCUAAUUAUAUCAAAUGCAUGCUCAUCAAUGAGAAUGUCUAAUUCCCCUUGCUCAUUAUCUAGAUGUCACACACUGAUAUAGAAGCAUCUGAAAAAAUUAAUCUCCUCAUAACACAGUAUUUGUGAACCCCUUGCCACCACCUUCACAGCUCCUGCCUUUGCCCCAGGACCCCCAGGUGAUACCGGGUACAAGCACAUGCACCAAACUGUCCCCAAAACCACCACUCCUUUGCUCCUUCCCAUAGAGGAAGGAAGCCUUAUCAUGAGGCUUUGGUGUUUGAUUCACUUAGGUCUUGUGUUUAUGACUUAAAUCAACAGGAGUGACACGAUGGGUAUGUGCUAUACAGCACUCCAGAAAGUGGCAUCCGUAGUUCAGAAGAUACAUUUUAGCUACUAAGUUUCCUGCCCAUAAAAUAGUUAAUAAUACCUUAUCAGCUAAAGGGCCUCCUGAGAAUGACGUUAAUUCAAAUUUAUAAAGCCACUGGAAGUGGGGAUGGUAAACACUACAGAAAAGGAGAAGAAGAAAGGAGAAGACCAGGAGCCCUGUUUGCAGACUGGAGCUCACAUAUGUGUGAUAGACAGCUGAUGGAUUUGUAUACAGCAUAUGAAAAAAAAAACAACAAAAAAACAAAGAAGGGGAUAAAAAGUAAAAGGCCACUCUUUUUUUCUCUCUAUGACCGAUGUUCUUCCUACCUGGUGAACAAAGAAGGGACAUCGAGGGGAAAACAAUCUGUCAUUACGUAACGAAGGACAACCGUGGCACCUACGCACAAGGAGUCCAGGAGGGGAAAAGUCAGGCUGGCAUGCGACACCUUCUGUGGGAUUGUGCUUUCAUUUACUGAAGUGCUCCCUGAAUGUGUGAGUUCAACAUUUCCCAGGUUCGGAUCAGGGGCUCCAGUGGAGGAGGGCUGGCUGCCCGUGCUUCAGGGGACAGCGGAUGCAGCGCAGGGAGGUUUUCAGCUGCCAUCGGAGCUUUGUCGCUGUCACUGUCUGAAACAGGUAAAAGCAGUGACAGCUAUGCCUGACUUUAGUACUUGCAGACUCCCAGAUAACCUCGAACAAAAUCACCAGCACAGCAGGUUCUUCAGUGAUAUUACAUUAUUUCUUCUUAUUUUGCUUGGGAGCCGUCACUGAUCGCGAUCUCGCUGCUCAAGAUGCUGUGCAAACCAACCAAACAAAAAAAAAAAACGAUCCAUGCCUAAA